CCUAUGGGGGGCAGCAGUCGCGAAAACUUUGCAAUACACGAAAGUGUGACAGGGCUAUCCCGAGUGCCAUCCGCUGAGGAAGGCUUUUACCCAGUCUAGAACGCUGGGGGAAUAAGGAGAGGGCAAGUCUGGUGUCAGCCGCCGCGGUAAUACCAGCUCUCCGAGUGGUGUGGAUGUUUAUUGGGCCUAAAGCAUCCGUAGCUGGCUAAGUUAGUCCCCUGUUAAAUCCAACGAAUUAAUCGUUGGAUCGCGGGGGAUACUGCUUGGCUAGGGGACGAGAGAGGCAGACGGUAUUUCCGGGGUAGGGGUGAAAUCCUAUAAUCCCGGGAAGACCACCAGUGGCGAAGGCUGUCUGCUAGAACGCGCCCGACGGUGAGGGAUGAAAGCUGGGGGAGCGAACCGGAUUAGAUACCCCCGUAGUCC
rnacentral:rRNA from 1 species